GGGGGGGGGGGGGAUCAGUACAGUUAAACCAGCAACAUUAAUUCUGAGGCACUUGUGGUUUUAAGCGAUAAGGAUAGUAGGGAAACACCCAGGUGGGUAUGACGGUGUGGCAUGCCUGCAACAAUUGAACAUGUUAUUAUAAUGUAAAAUACAGGAAAGUAAGAUGGUAUUCAAUGUUAUUUUAGAAUUAGGACUUUCCUUUUUCUUUUUUCAGACAAGAAGAAGCAGUAACUAUUUGAAAGGAAAGUUGGAUUUGUUUGUAUGCAACUGGACUAUAUGCACGGAUGCAUCUGAGGAUCAGGAGCUGAGGGGAGUGCUUCGGAGGCAUCGGUGCUGGGCUUCACAUGUCCCGAUUCAGAAUGCUGCUCCCCGACUCGCCUUCAACCUUCCCAAGUUAUCCCAAGUCACUCCUCUGCUGAGUUCACUCCACUGGCUACCGGUCGCUGCCAGGACCAGGUUCAAAGUCCAGAUCCUCGCCUACCCUGCAGCCAACAGGACGGCCCCCGGCUACUUACAGGACAUGAUUCAAUCCUACACGCCAGCUCGACCACUCCGCUCUGUGGAAACAGCGCCACUUGCACCCCUGCCAUUCGGAUGAAUCUGGGAUAAUUUUUUCACUUAAAUUCCCCUCUUUUAUGCUACACAUGUACCUCCUGUGCCAAUUUCAUGUUACCUGUACCGCCAUCCAGCACUUAUACUGUACUUUGUAUCAUUAUCUUGAUGUUGUAGCUUGUCAUGCCUCCUAGUUUUACUUAGCAGAGGUUAGGUCAGAGUAAUGUUUAAUGUGUGAACUGGACUUAAUGUGUUCAUGGCUAUGAAUAACUGUUACAAAAUGAGUAUUGUGCCUUAUUGGAUCUGUGUUUUGUAGUUGUUCCAAUGACCUUCUUUAUGCACUUAUUGUACGUCACUUUGGAUAAAAACGUCUGCCGAAUAAUGCAAUGUAAUGUCAGGAGUUUGCCUCCCUCUGCUGGACAGAAAAUGGUAUUACAGCAGAGGAAAUCCGAUUUAAAAAAUGUUGCAAUGUACAAGUCGAUUUUUUGUAUGGUUAUUAAAUGUAUGUGGAUUUUAAUGCUGCACACAAGUUGCCCUCUGGGGAUAAUAAAGAUCUACUGAAACCAAAA